AUCUAUUUGACUCGUCCCAAAUAGGACGAAACGUGCUUCAUGGAU
rfam:Schistosoma mansoni strain Puerto Rico chromosome 4, complete genome